rnacentral:rRNA from 1 species
CAAUAGCGUAUAUUAAAGUUGUUGCAGUUAAAAAGCUCGUAGUUGGACUUCUGGUUGAAGCGACCGGUCGGGCGUUGAUUCGUCUGCACUGGAGUCGGUUUUGGCCAUCCUCUAGGAAAGUGCGUCUGGUAUUAAGUUAUCGGGCAUAUGAUCCUGGUCUUUUACUGUGAAAAAAUUAGAGUGUUUAAAGCAGGCCUUCGCCUUGAAUACAUUAGCAUGGAAUAAUAAGAUAGGACUUUGGUCUAUUUUGUUGGUUUGCAGACCGAAGUAAUGAUUAAUAGGGAUAGUUGGGGGUAUUUAUAUUCCGAUGUCAGAGGUGAAAUUCUUAGAUUUUCGGAAGAUAAACUUAUGCGAAAGCAUUUACCAAGGAUGUUUUCAUUAA